rnacentral:rRNA from 1 species
UCCUACGGCCACACCCCAGACUGAAUGCGCCCGAUCCCUUCUGAUCUUGGAAGCUUAACGGGCCCGGGCCCGGCUAGUUCCUGGAUGGGAAACUGCCUGGGAAUCCCGGGUGCCGUAGGCU